rnacentral:rRNA from 1 species
AGCGCGUGUAGGCGGUUUGGUAAGUCCGCUGUGAAAGUCGGGGGCUCAACCCUCGAAUGCCGGUGGAUACUGUCGGACUAGAGUGCGGAAGAGGCGAGUGGAAUUCCUGGUGUAGCGGUGAAAUGCGCAGAUAUCAGGAGGAACACCAAUUGCGAAGGCAGCUCGCUGGGACGUUACUGACGCUGAGACGCGAAACGGUGGGGAGCAAACAGGAUUAGAUACCCUGGUAGUCCACGCUGUAAACGAUGGGCACUAGGUGUGGGGGGUGUCGACUCCCUCCGUGCCGAAGCUAACGCAUUAAGUGCCCCGCCUGGGGAGUACGGCCGCAAGGCUAAAACUCAAAGGAAUUGACGGGGGCCCGCACAAGCAGCGGAGCAUGUGGUUUAAUUCGACGCAACGCGAAGAACCUUACCUGGGCUUGACAUGUGCCUGACCGCCCUGGAAACAGGGCUUCCCUUCGGGGCAGGUUCACAGGUGGUGCAUGGCUGUCGUCAGCUCGUGUCGUGAGAUGUUGGGUUAAGUCCCGCAACGAGCGCAACCCCCGUCGCAUGUUGCCAGCAUUAAGUUGGGGACUCAUGCGAGACUGCCGGUGACAAACCGGAGGGAGGUGGGGAUGACGUCAAGUCAUCAUGCCCCUUAUGUUCAGGGCUACACACGUGCUACAUUGGCGCGUACAGAGGGCUGCGAUACCGUGAGGUGGAGCGAAUCCCUUAAAGCGCGUCUCGGUUCGGAUUGUAGGCUGAAACUCGCCUACAUGAAGGCGGAGUUGCUAGUA